GAAAAUUUCAUCCGUUAAUAAAAAUUGUGUGUAGUCACUUGUAUAAUGUUGAAAAACCUAAACAGAUGGACCUGCAAAGCAGAACAUUUUUCAUAUCUGUCACUAGCUUCACACACGAUUUUAACAUUUAACAGAUUCGAGUUGGAAGAUAUCUAAUGACGAUAUCCUUAUAACAAACUACGCCCAGUACGCUACACUAAAUUACAUUUAUAUUUGAUUUCUGACAGUUUGAAACAAUUCAUUGCAGCUGUAAAUAAGGCUCUAAUACUUUAUGCUGCAGUUGCUAUGCAGGAUGUAUAAUAAAAAAUAUUAAAAAAAAAGAAAAAGAAGGAAAGGAGAAGAUUGACAACUAGGGUGAGAGAAUCCACUAUACAAAGGAGCAAGGAUUAAUUAAAUUAAGAUCCUUUUUUUCGUUCAAGCAUUUGGUAUACAAUUACCUGCAUUCAUGCGAUUUUUUUAGAAAAUAGUUAUUUUAUGCCAAGAAAAAAUGGACUUAUCCAUAACAAAAAAAUAGUACAAUCAUUUCAAUUUUUAUUGAUAAAUAGAAAUGAAAAAUUAAAAGUGCAUAUUUGCUAUUUACUCAAAAAUUCACUG